GCUCAGGACGAACGCUGGCGGCGUGCUUAACACAUGCAAGUCGAACGAUGAACCACUUCGGUGGGGAUUAGUGGCGAACGGGUGAGUAACACGUGGGCAAUCUGCCCUUCACUCUGGGACAAGCCCUGGAAACGGGGUCUAAUACCGGAUACCACUACCGCAGGCAUCUGUGGUGGUUGAAAGCUCCGGCGGUGAAGGAUGAGCCCGCGGCCUAUCAGCUUGUUGGUGAGGUAAUGGCUCACCAAGGCGACGACGGGUAGCCGGCCUGAGAGGGCGACCGGCCACACUGGGACUGAGACACGGCCCAGACUCCUACGGGAGGCAGCAGUGGGGAAUAUUGCACAAUGGGCGAAAGCCUGAUGCAGCGACGCCGCGUGAGGGAUGACGGCCUUCGGGUUGUAAACCUCUUCAGCAGGGAAGAAGCGAAAGUGACGGUACCUGCAGAAGAAGCGCCGGCUAACUACGUGCCAG
rnacentral:rRNA from 1 species